AGAGUUUGAUCCUGGCUCAGGAUGAACGCUGGCGGCGUGCUUAACACAUGCAAGUCGAACGGGAAUGCUUCGCUGAUGCGAUUUCGGUCAAAUCUUGAAGCAUUUUAGUGGCGGACGGGUGAGUAACGCGUGGGUAACCUGCCCUGUACAGGGGGACAACAGUUGGAAACGACUGCUAAUACCGCAUAAGCGCACAGCUUCGCAUGAAGCAGUGUGAAAAACUCCGGUGGUACAGGAUGGACCCGCGUUUGAUUAGAUAGUUGGUGAGGUAACGGCCCACCAAGUCAACGAUCAGUAGCCGGCCUGAGAGGGCGAACGGCCACAUUGGGACUGAGACACGGCCCAAACUCCUACGGGAGGCAGCAGUGGGGAAUAUUGCACAAUGGGGGAAACCCUGAUGCAGCGACGCCGCGUGAGUGAAGAAGUAUUUCGGUAUGUAAAGCUCUAUCAGCAGGGAAGAAAACAAUGACGGUACCUGACUAAGAAGCCCCGGCUAACUACGUGCCAGCAGCCGCGGUAAUACGUAGGGGGCAAGCGUUAUCCGGAUUUACUGGGUGUAAAGGGAGCGUAGACGGUAGACCAAGUCUGAAGUGAAAGCCCGGGGCUCAACCCCGGAACUGCUUUGGAAACUGGUAAACUAGAGUGCAGGAGAGGUAAGUGGAAUUCCUAGUGUAGCGGUGAAAUGCGCAGAUAUUAGGAGGAACACCAGUGGCGAAGGCGGCUUACUGGACUGUAACUGACGUUGAGGCUCGAAAGCGUGGGGAGCAAACAGGAUUAGAUACCCUGGUAGUCCACGCCGUAAACGAUGAUUACUAGGUGUCGGGGAGUUAAACUCUUCGGUGCCGCAGCAAACGCAAUAAGUAAUCCACCUGGGGAGUACGUUCGCAAGAAUGAAACCCAAAGGAAUUGACGGGGGCCCGCACAAGCAGUGGAGUAUGUGGUUUAAUUCGAAGCAACGCGAAGAACCUUACCAGGUCUUGACAUCCGUCUAACGAAGCAGAGAUGCAUAAGGUGCCCUUCGGGGAAAGGCGAGACAGGUGGUGCAUGGUUGUCGUCAGCUCGUGUCGUGAGAUGUUGGGUUAAGUCCCGCAACGAGCGCAACCCUUGUUUCUAGUUGCUACGCAAGAGCACUCUAGAGAGACUGCCGUUGACAAAACGGAGGAAGGUGGGGACGACGUCAAUUCAUCAUGCCCCUUAUGACCUGGGCCACACACGUACUACAAUGGCUGUAAACAGAGGGAAGCAAAGCCGCGAGGUGGAGCAAAACCCUAAAAGCAGUCCCAGUUCGGAUCGCAGGCUGCAACCCGCCUGCGUGAAGUCGGAAUUGCUAGUAAUCGCGGAUCAGCAUGCCGCGGUGAAUACGUUCCCGGGCCUUGUACACACCGCCCGUCACACCAUGGGAGCCGGUAAUACCCGAAGCCAGUAGUUCAACCGCAAGGAGAGCGCUGUCGAAGGUAGGAUUGGCGACUGGGGUGAAGUCGUAACAAGGUA
rnacentral:rRNA from 1 species